AAUUGAUUUGGUAUUGUCCAACAGAACUAAAAACAUGAUUAAAAGGGGAAGUUGUCAAAUCUCAAAAUAGAAAAACGAAGACGAAGUAAUUAGUGAAACCUUCUAAGGCAAGAAUUAUGGGGUAGUGGACGGACGGUGAUGGAAGAAGAAGAUCCAGCCUAAAAAGAAUGAGACGUGGAUGAUUCUCAUUGGAACUGGUCAAAGCUCCUUACAUACACUAAUUUCCUUUGUAGUUAAAUAAAUUAUUCAAGUAAUUGUUGUCGGGCGAGAAACCGCGUCUUUUGA